rfam:Oceanibaculum indicum P24 contig20, whole genome shotgun sequence.
UGACCUUGUCCUCUGUCGUACGCACUUUUGGGCGUUUCCUCCCUAAACUUGGGCCGUGCAGCCGCACGGCCCAUUUUUUUGCGCCUG